rnacentral:rRNA from 1 species
UCGCAAGACAGUUCGGUCUCUAUCUGCUGCGGGCGUAGGAAUAUUGAGGAGAUCUGUCUCUAGUACGAGAGGACCGAGAUGGACAUACCGCUAGUGUACCGGUUGUGGCGCCAGCUGCACCGCCGGGUAGCUAUGUAUGGCACGGAUAAGCGCUGAAAGCAUCUAAGCGCGAAGCCGUCUCCAAGAUGAAUGUUCCAUCAGUCAUCUGACUGAGAAGGGUCGUAGAAGAAGACUACGUUGAUAGGCGACAGGUGGAAGUGCGGUGACGUAUGGAGCCGAGUCGUACUAAUUACCCGACAGCUUCCCAAA